ensembl:lncRNA
ACCAACAUUAAAAAAAAGAAUGAGUGGCAACAUGUUGCUGCGGCAGUGAACGCUGUCAGUGGUACGGAGCGUACAGUAGCUGAAUUGAAAAAAAAGUGGUCCGACAUAAAGGUACAUUUUUAUUUCCUCACGCACAGCACACGUUUAUAAUUAAUUGCUCAAAUGUUACUGGUCAUAUAGUGAAGAUCGUUAAUUACAGGUGGGUGCAAAGCAGAGGCUGUCCUAAAACCGCCAGAGCGUGACUGCAACUGGAGGGGGACCCAGUACUCCUGACCUAACACCAAUUGACACGAAAGUUGGAUCCAUAAUUGGCACCGCAAGCGUGAGUGGCAUCGUGUCCGAACGGGAAGGAGACAACACAGAAGAACAAGAGUCAGCGGUCGGUGGGGAGGAGGAUGAUGAUGCCGGCGAGGGGCCCUCGGCCGCAGGUCAUCUGGCUGCCCCCACCCCCAGCGCCAAGCGUCAGUCCGCUGGUCGGGUGCUCACAGACGCAGUUCUGCAGCUACAGAGGGAAACGAUAGCUGCAGUCAACAACUUGACUGAGGAGAUGAGGCAGAUUCGAAAUGUUAUCACCGAAAUUGCCACAACAUUAAAAUAUACUGUGGAAAAAUGAACCUUGAGUCGUCUUCAUUUCAUAAACGCCGCAUGACAUCC